AUGUGUAAAAGCUGUUGUUUGAAAGACCAAGAAAAUGCUUCUGCUUGGACUUUGUUGGUGCUAUGAGUUUAAACUAUUCAUACCUCUGCCCAGCCACCUCAGAAUAAUCCCCACUGGCGGCCGGUUCUGGCCUGGGUCUGGACCGGUUCUGCCGAGUUUCCGGCCCUGUUUUGCUCCAGACUCGGUCUCUAUCGGGGAUCUGUUUUUUUUUUUUUUUUGGGACAAUCCCUACCUCGGGAUUCUGGUGACCAGCACACACACACACAGACACACAGACACACACACACAGACACACACACACACACACAUACAAGGGGUGAGGCCAUUUGGAAGUGAAGAUGGAGAGAAUGACCCUACUGCUUGGACACACCUGGCCCUUCUUCCUUCCGUUUCCACCUGAUGUUUGUCCUUGUUUGUUCGUUCAUUCGUUUCGUCUGUUUUUAGACAAAAAAAAAUCUCCAGCUGCAGAUCAUGUUAACGUUUGUUUAAAAAAAAGAAAAAAAAAUAGAGGUCAAAGGUGAAAUCUGCUCUACAUCAGGAAGAGAAAAGGUCCCUUUUGUGUCCCUUUUGUGAACACUUUUGCUCAAGCUUCACACUGCUCCACCACGAACAGCUUCUGUGUCUGUGUGUGUGUGAGUGUGUGUGUUUGUGUAUGUAUGUGUGUUCGUUCCUCCCCUGUAACGUGAUGCCUUUCGUAAGCAAUAGACUUGCUCCAGUGUUUUGUCAUAUCUAGGACUUCACACACAAACUGCACAGACAAUCAGAAAUGAUGUUGAGAGAGCACGAGAGCGACCGAGCAAGCGAGAGAGAAAGAGAGAGAAAGAGGGAGAGCACAAUUUUGAUACCUGAUUGAAUGGAUGUGGGUAUGAGCGGUCUACUUUCACAGAGGAAUGUAAUAGUCAUGGGAUGUGAAUGGCUGAAUCUUAAACCUAACUCAGUUUGAAGUGAAAAGACAAAACAAAAUUAAAAAAAAAGAUAUUUUACAGUAUAAAGGAUAAAGGUUGUAUAUUUUAAGAUUGCAGAUAUUUUUUACAGAAGUUAUAUGCAUACUAUGAGUCAUUUUACCGUUUUUGCAUACAUAGUUCUUUUUCUCAAAUUUCUACAAAGACAGCAUCCUGUUGCUUCUCAAAACAAGAAUAAGCCCAUAACCAGGUCCACAACAACAAGAACCCCAUAACCAGGUCCAGAACCCCAUAACCAGGUCCACAACAACAACCCCAUAACCAGGUCCACAACAAGAAUAAGCCCAUAACCAGGUCCACAACUAGAAUAAGCCCAUAGCCAGGUCCAGAACAAGAAUAAGCCCAUAGCCAGGUCCACAACAAGAAUAAGCCCAUAACCAGGUCCACAACUAGAAUAAGCCCAUAGCCAGGUCCAGAACAAGAAUAAGCCCAUAGCCAGGUCCACAACAACAAUAAGCCCAUAGCCAGGUCCACAACAAGAAUAAGCCCAUAGCCAGGUCCAGAACAAGAAUAAGCCCAUAACCAGGUCCACAACAACAAUAAGCCCAUAACCAGGUCCAGAACAAGAAUAAGCCCAUAGCCAGGUCCAGAACAAGAAUAAGCCCAUAACCAGGUCCACAACUAGAAUAAGCCCAUAGCCAGGUCCACAACUAGAAUAAGCCCAUAGCCAGGUCCAGAACCCCAUAACCAGGUCCAGAAGCACCCAAAGGAGAAAUACACUUACAGUGGGGAAAAUAAGUAUUUGAACCCCUGCCGAUUUCGCAAGUUUGGCCACUUGCAAAGAAAUGUGUGAUCUAUAAUUGUAAUGGUAGGUCUAUUUUAACAGUGAGAGACAGAAUAUCCACAAAAAACAUCCAGAAAACUGCAUUUUAUAACAGGUAUGAAUUGAUUUGCAUUUGUCGCGGAAAAUAAGUAUUGAAUACUUAAUAAAUACUUAUUUUCCCCACUGUACAUGGAGUAAUAUAACUAAAUGGAACUCCUUUUCCAUUUAACGGCAGGUUCAGAAAGACAAGUGUCACUUUAAGCAAUCAGAUAACACCUGUCUCACCCGUCAGAUAAACAGACAGAUAAACCGAUAACACCUGUCUCACCUGUCUGAGGGGAUAGUUGUGACCCCACAAGGCAAGAGCUCUUACAAUCCAGGAAAAAAGAUGAAUGAACAGCAGCCAGUGUGUCUGAUAAGUGUGUAUCAAAA
ensembl:lncRNA